UACGGAGGGCGCAAGCGUUGUUCGGAAUCACUGGGCGUAAAGCGCGUGUAGGCGGCUCUGCAAGUCGGGUGUGAAAUCCCGAGGCUCAACCUCGGAACUGCACUCGAUACUGCUUGGCUCGAGUCCCGGAGAGGGUGGCGGAAUUCCCGGUGUAGGGGUGAAAUCCGUAGAUAUCGGGAGGAACACCAGUGGCGAAGGCGGCCACCUGGACGGUGACUGACGCCGAGACGCGAAAGCGUGGGGAGCACACAGG
rnacentral:rRNA from 1 species